rnacentral:rRNA from 1 species
GAUGAACGCUGGCGGCGUGCCUAAUACAUGCAAGUCGAGCGAACAGACGAGGAGCUUGCUCCUCUGACGUUAGCGGCGGACGGGUGAGUAACACGUGGAUAACCUACCUAUAAGACUGGGAUAACUUCGGGAAACCGGAGCUAAUACCGGAUAAUAUAUUGAACCGCAUGGUUCAAUAGUGAAAGACGGUUUUGCUGUCACUUAUAGAUGGAUCCGCGCCGCAUUAGCUAGUUGGUAAGGUAACGGCUUACCAAGGCAACGAUGCGUAGCCGACCUGAGAGGGUGAUCGGCCACACUGGAACUGAGACGCGGUCCAGACUCCUACGGGAGGCAGCAGUAGGGAAGCUUCCGCAAUGGGCGAAAGCCUGACGGAGCAACGGCGCGUGAGUGAUGAAGGUCUUCGGAUCGUAAAACGCUGUUAUUAGGGAAGAACAAAUGUGUAAGUAACGAUGCACGUCUUGACGGUACCUAAUCAGAAAGCCACGGCUAACUACGU